AGCAUAACGCAUUGUAGGCAACACUAAACGGGAGACACCGUCCCGCAAGCAGCCCGCGCGCGGCGCAGGCGGCGAGCAUACAGGUGUACAAGGUCUAGUAACGUGGAAGGCGCAGCAUACCUUUCCCUAAAUCGGAAAUUGGUCAAUGACGUACCUGCCCCUAGACACUGCUAGACCUUGCUGCUACAAGCGGGACAGCUACAAAGGUACACUGUAUGUAUCUAUGCUUUACCCCGCUUUGUAGCAGGUCUUAAAACGGUCUACUGGCAUAUGCUUUAGUGCUAGUAGGAAUCAUUAACUUACAACUAUUAUAUGCUUCCUGGAGGUGAAGAGUAUGCCGCCGCAGCAUUGAUUAGAUUAUAUAAUAUUUAUAUAAUAAAUGCCGAAACACCUCUUCGAUUCGUUUAAAAGACAGUUGUCUGAAUUGAAUGUUUUUCGGGCAAAAGGUCCC
rnacentral:lncRNA from 1 species